UACAGAGGGGGCAAGCGUUGUUCGGAAUUACUGGGCGUAAAGGGCGCGUAGGCGGCCCGCUAAGUCGAACGUGAAAUCCCCGAGCUCAACUCGGGAACUGCGUCCGAUACUGGCGGGCUUGAAUCCGGGAGAGGGAUGCGGAAUUCCAGGUGUAGCGGUGAAAUUCGUAGAUAUCGGGAGGAACACCAGUGGCGAAGGCGGAGACCUGGGCCAAUACUGACGCUGAGGUGCGAAAGCGUGGGGAGCAAACAGG
rnacentral:rRNA from 1 species